rnacentral:rRNA from 1 species
AGAGUUUGAUCAUGGCUCAGGAUGAACGNUGGCGGNGUNNCUANUACAUGCAAGUCGAACGAGGACUCUGGUAUUUAUNUCGGAUGUUCCUAGUGGCGAACGGGUGAGUAACGCGUUGGUAAUCUGCCCCAAAGUAAGGGAUAACUGUUGGAAACGACUGCUAAUACCAUAUGUGAUCAUAUUGAUUAGAUGCUUUAUGAUUAAAGGAGUAAUCCGCUUUGGGAGGAGCNUGCGUCCCAUCAGCUAGUUGGUAAGGUAAUGGCUUACCAAGGCUAUGACGGGUAGGAGGCCUGAGAGGGUGGCCUCCCACAAUGGUACUGAAACACGGACCAUACACCUACGGGUGGCAGCAGUAGGGAAUAUUGCCCAAUGGACGAAAGUCUGAGGCAGCAACGCCGCGUGAGUGAUGAAGGCCUUCGGGUUGUAAAACUCUUUUACGAGGGAAGAACAAAGACGGUACCUCGCGAAUAAGGAUCGGCUAACUACGUGCCAGCAGCCGCGGUAACACGUAGGAUUCAAACGUUAUCCGGAUUUACUGGGCGUAAAGCGCGUGCAGGCGGUUUGGUAAGUUGGAUGUGAAAGCUCCGGGCUCAACCCGGAGAGGUCGUUCAAUACUGCCAGUCUAGAGGACGAUAGAGGAAGGUGGAAUUCCAGGUGUAGUGGUGAAAUGCGUAGAUAUCCGGAGGAACACCAGUGGCGAAAGCGGCCUUCUGGGUCGGUCCUGACGCUAAGACGCGAAAGCUAGGGUAGCAAACGGGAUUAGAAACCCCGGUAGUCCUAGCCGUAAACGAUGUGAACUUGGUGUUGGUGGGGUAAAAGCCAUCAGUGCCGUAGCUAACGCGAUAAGUUCACCGCCUGGGGACUACGGUCGCAAGAUUAAAACUCAAAUGAAUUGACGG